rnacentral:lncRNA from 10 species
GCCCCGAGGCCUUUCCCAGCUGUCUCCACGAGGACUACUGGACUCCCGCCUGGACCCCCGCCCUACGGAGUUUCAUACUUGUUGCCCAGGCUGGAGUGCAAUGGCACAAUCUUGGCUCACCACAAACUCUGCCUCCCAGAUUCAAGUGAGCUCUGUCACCCACGCUAGAGUGCAGUGGCAUGAUCGUAGCGUACUGCAACCUCCACCUCCUGGGCGCAAGAAAUGCUCCCACCUCAGCCUCCUGAGUAGCUGGGACUACAGGUGUGCACCACCACGCCCGGCUACACCACGCCUGGUCUUGAAUUCCUGGGCUCAAGGAGUCCUCUUGCCUCAGGCUACCAAAGUGCUGGGAUUAUAGGUGACAGCCACCGCACUCGGCCAAAAUUGGAAGAAUAUAUAUAUAUAUAUACCCGGUGAAAUAAUCACCACAAUCAAAAAAAUGACUACAUCCAUCACUGAAAACUUUCCUUAUGCCCUUCUGUGAUCCUUUUCUCCCUCCCCCAAGGACCCCUUGGAGAGGCAAGGCAAUGCCACAGGCAAGCACUGAUCUGCUUUCUGUUUGAUUCAUUUGCGAUUUCUAGAAUUUUAUAUAGAUGGAAUCAUACAAUGUGUACUCUUUUGUCUGGCUUCUUUCCAUUAGCAUAAUUAUUUUGAGAUUUAUCUGUAGUGAUGUGAAUAUCAAUAGUUUAUUAUUAUUUUUUCUUUUUUUCUUUUUUAGACAGGGUCUUGCUCUGUCACCCAGGUUGGAGUGCAGUUCAUUCUUUUAAAAUUGCUAAACAGUAUUCCAUAGCAUGGAUGUGCCAUAAUUUAUGCAUUCUUCUUUUUUUUUUUUUUUUGCCCCCGAGAUGGAGUCUUGCUCUGUUGCCCAGUGGCUCUAUCUCAGCUCACUGCAACCUCCGCCUCCCGGGUUUAAUCGAUACUCCUGCCUCAGCCUCCCGAGUAGCUGGGAUUACAGGCACAUGCCACCAUGUGCCGCUAAUUUUUGUAUUUUUAGUAGAGGUGGAGUUUCACCAUGUUGGCCAGACUGGUCUUGAACUCCUGACCUCAUGAUCCGCCCACCUCAGCCUCCCAAAGUGCUGGGACUACAGGGAUGAGCCACUGUGCCUGGCUGCAUUCUUCUGUUGAUGGACACUUGGGUUGUUUCCAG